rnacentral:rRNA from 1 species
GAUUAAGCCAUGCAUGUGUCAGUUCACAUCUUUGUAUGGUGAAACCGCGAAUGGCUCAUUACAACAGUUAUAAUUUACUUGAUGUUGACUAUCCUACUUGGAUAACUGCGGUAAUUCUGGAGCUAAUACAUGCAUCAAAGCUCUGACUCCCUCGGAGCGCAUUUAUUAGAUCAAAGCCAAUCGACUUCGGUCGUUUGUUGUUGACUCUGAAUAACUCAGCUGAUCGCAUGGUCUUGUACCGGCGACAUAUCUUUCAAGUAUCUGCCUUAUCAACUUUCGAUGGUAGUUUAUGUGCCUACCAUGGUUGCAACGGGUAACGGAAAAUUAGGGUUUGAUUCCGGAGAGGGAGCCUGAGAAACGGCUACCACAUCUAAGGAAGGCAGCAGGCGCGCAAAUUACCCAAUCGCCGACGGCGGAGGUAGUGACUAACAAUAACGAGACCGUCUUCUAUGAGGCCGGUUAUCGGAAUGGGUACAAUUUAAACCCUUAACGAGGAUCUAUGAGAGGGCAAGUC